UACGGGGGGAGCAAGCGUUGUUCGGAUUUACUGGGCGUAAAGGGCGCGUAGGCGGUCGUGACAAGUCACUUGUGAAAUCUCCGGGCUUAACUCGGAACGGUCAAGUGAUACUGUCGGACUAGAGUACAGAAGGGGCAACUGGAAUUCUCGGUGUAGCGGUGAAAUGCGUAGAUAUCGAGAGGAACACCUGCGGCGAAGGCGGGUUGCUGGGCCGACACUGACGCUGAGGCGCGAAAGCCAGGGGAGCGAACGGG
rnacentral:rRNA from 1 species